rnacentral:lncRNA from 1 species
CACUCCCAAAAGACACAUACAAAACUGAACAAGGUUGCUGUUUGUCUAGCCAUGACAGACACUCUAACCCGUUAGCAUCAUCACAAGAACUUGUUACAGUCUGGAUGAUGGGUCCAACAGGAUACACAGAAGGCUUUCCCUUCCUACUUUCUUCCUCUGUUAGUGCUUUUAUAGGACCCAUUUCCAUUUCUAAGAAGCUAUUAACAAGAACACCAUCAGCCAAACUAAAACUUUUACAAAGUUGAAGUAAGUGUUUGUAAGCUUGACUUGAUCUAUCUCCAGCUGCAGUAAAAAGAUCCCUGCCAUGCAGUGGUACGCAACCUGGUAUUUUGAUAGGUUCUGGUAGAUCUAUGUACUUACAUGAUGUUUCCUCGUCCAACUUAGGCAAGUAGAAUUUCCAAGCCAGCGUAUUAGCUGCUACAGGGUAGUAUAUAUAGGAUAACAUGUUGAAUUCCUUAGCAAAGUCUAGUGCUUCAACAGCAAACAAAUCAACUACCAAGGCCACUAGGGGAGUUCUUGAAGCGAAGGACUUCAACGCCUGAUGUAAAUAUGGGAGAGAAUGAGUCACUGUGCGCUGAAUUUUCAUUUGUAAUGAGAGUCCUUGUGGUAGGUCAUUGGGUUGCACCGGUGGAAGAAAAGUGUGGUUGAUAUUUGAUGGAAGAGUUUGAAGGAUGGUUUUUGAGGAACUUGGGGGAGAACCAAGUGUGGGAAUGAUACAUGUGACAUGAAUAUAUGGAUGAUGUUGAACAAGUAACUUGGAGAAUUCAAGAAUAGGGACUAAGUGGCUAUAUCCAACACCUGGAACAACUGCAAUGUGAAUUGUUUUCUCCAUGGAAAUUUGAGGCCAAGUUCACCUAUCCCAAUUAGACUUUAUAUUGAUUUUAAAGCAAAUUUUGAAACAAUAUUUUUCUAAUAUUAUUUGAAAGUUUAGUUUUAUGAUUUUCUGGUAUAUUCUAGUAUAUCUAUAUUUCACAACUUCAAUUCAUGUGCCAUCUCCUAACCUAACACAGUAUUGAAAAUUUCAGUCUAACUAAUCUAACAGACGUGAAGUAACAUAAGUUGUUUGGUGAUGCUCCUCUCAUAUAAUAUAAACCAUUUUUAGCAAAUAUGGGAAGUAAGAAGGUUUUGUAAAAUAAAAUCCUCUUAAAAAAAGAAGGGAAAAUAGAAAAGUAAGUUAGUUGUUUAACUUAAUACGAUAAUAAAACUAUCAAAUCCCUCCACAUAUUUAGCAAUGAAAAGCUCCUAUGUCCUAUUCAGAGAGUUGGUGACUAAUGCAGGACAACAAAAAUACAUUAAUAGUAAUUAAUUUCAAAUCUCAAUAACUAGAUGCUUAUUGUCAUUUUGUUCUUCAAGUAAUUGAAUAGGAUAUAGGGGCUGUUUCAUGGUUUCUAGUACACAAAAUAAGAAAUGAAACUAUCACAAUAUCAAAUAACAACCUCAAGUAAAGAGAAAAGGUAAUUAAAGCAAAGAGAAGUCCAACUGCAAAGCUUGAUAUACAUAAAUAUUAUAAAUAAAUCUUUUUCUACUUCUAGUGACAUAUUUUGUCUAUAAACAAAAUUCAUCAUAUCAAAUUACUUCUAGAGACGGACCACAACAACAACCUGUACAACAAAUGACCAAUUAUUUCCAGGUUUUCGACUUCUACAUUAUUACCGUUUGUUGUCCAGCUUCUACGUUCUCGAGUUUAUACUUUUUCAAUAAUUCUACCUUUGUAAUUUUUACUACUCUCGUUCUGCUAUUAUUGAUAUAACUUCUCAUGUCUAUCUUGAUAGGUGUAUUAGCAGGUUCUUAGUAGACAUGGACAUAUAAUCAAGACAACGGUCGGUAGCUAUAUCAUUGUACAAGGGAGGGCUGAUGACACCAUGAAUCUUGAUGGAAUAAAGGUAUCACUCUUUUAGGGAGAAUGCAGAAUAAGAAAACUACUAGGAAUUUCAAUGAAUUAUAGAAAGAAAUGGAAAAGUAGAGGAAAAUUUCUGUGUAUUUCAUUCUUUAAUUCAUGACCAGCUUCCUACUUUUAAAUGGUGCAACGGAAUUUACAAGAAGUGAGUAUACCGUGUCACCAUAUAUUCUUGCAUACCCAUCACAAUUCACACCCUCACUAUUUAUACUACUAAGGCAUAACAAACUUGCCAACGAAGCAAUUUUCCCCAUUCUUUAUUUACCUUACAUCCUUACCGCAUUCUUUAUUACAAUAUAUAUUCCCCAACCCUCACUCAGGUCUCUAUCAAUUACUUUCAUUGAUGUCGACUGAAUUAUUAGCAAAGUCUCUGCAUAUAAUUAGUCUUGUAAGAAGAUUUCUUAUGGGCAAUGUGAAUGCAUUUAAGAUUGACAGUGGCACAACUAAAGAGGAAGAGCAACAACAUAGAAUAUAGACUAAGGAUUUUUAAGUUUUCCUACACCAAAUUUCUCCACUUAAGUGCUAAUUGAGAAAUAGUCUUUGUAGAAGACCCAUCUUCUUUGACUGCAUUAGAAGCAACUUCUUUUAAUUCCUUCAUAUUAUUGCGCAAUUUCUCACCUUCUUUUCCUUCCAUGAGACACUUGAUCACCUUAGCAACCUCUACCCUUUCCACAAUGUCAUUUUCAUUAACUCUUGGCCUCAGUCCCACUUUUAUGCCUUCACUCAGCAAAACCGCGUUCAUAUUCUGCUCAGCAAACAGGGGCCAUGUGAUUAGUGGUACACCAUGUACCACACUCUCAAGGGUUGAAUUCCAACCACAAUGAGUCAAGAACCCACCAACUGAAUUGUGACUAAGGAUUUGAAUCUGGGGCGCCCAUGAUGGAAUGACCAAACCUUUGCCUCUGGUUCUCUCCAAAAACCCAGAAGGUAAAAAUUCCAAAGGGUCAACAUCAUUUUGUGUUGAAAGAUAUGUAGCAUUGGCUGAACUAUUUGGUGCUCUUACAACCCAUAAGAAUUUAUGAUUACUCAACUCCAAACCAAAAGCCAGCUCAACAAUUUGUUCCUGUGAAAGUGUACCCCCACUCCCAAAAGACACAUACAAAACUGAACAAGAUUGUUGUUUGUCCAACCAUGACAGACACUCCAACCCAUUAGCAUCAACAGAACUUGUUACUGUCUGGAUGAUAGGUCCAACAGGAUAAACAGAAGGGAUACCCUUGACACUUCCUUCCUCAUUUAGUGCUUUUAUAGGACCACUUUCCAUUUCUAAGAAGCUAUUAAC